UUGAACGCUGGCGGCAUGCCUUACACAUGCAAGUCGAACGGUAGAGGGGCAACCCUUGAGAGUGGCGAACGGGUGAGUAAUAUAUCGGAACGUGCCCAGUCGUGGGGGAUAACGCAGCGAAAGCUGCGCUAAUACCGCAUACGAUCUAAGGAUGAAAGCGGGGGAUCGCAAGACCUCGCGCGAUUGGAGCGGCCGAUAUCAGAUUAGGUAGUUGGUGGGGUAAAAGCCCCACCAAGCCGACGAUCUGUAGCUG
rnacentral:rRNA from 1 species